CCCUCUCGAUGAUUUGAGCGAGAAGGAGAUGACAACCUUGCUCGACUGGGAGAAGAAGUUCUCCGAUAAGUAUCCCGUCGUUGGCGGCAUUGUCUCGUCCGGAUAGGCAACGCUUCCAGCGCUGGACGAAGAAGAAGAAGAAGAAGCAUCAGUCCAAGUUGCACAGGUAGAAAUACGAGAGCUUUCGUUUCUUACUUUCUUUCUUUGUUGUCUCGUUGUUUGUUUUUUGCCCCCUUGUGUAUAAAGUCUGUGUUCUAAGUAGUACUAAUUGGGAGGACCUGAGAGCUCGGAAGCUAUGUUUCGCAGCGCUAGAACUGCCUGCACCGGCAUUCAAGUGGAAAACGCUGAGUCAAAAGCUACAAAUAAUUAAAACAAUGGAUAAGGCGUGCACCUCUUUUAUUGCGCUCGAAACACCUCCUCACAAAACUGUCCGUGUCGUUCUUCGAAGCCUGGAAUCUGGUUUAGAAAAUGGGCAUGCGAAGUAGCACUGGUGGCAAAAGUGA
rnacentral:lncRNA from 1 species